rnacentral:rRNA from 1 species
GACGAACGCUGGCGGCGUGCUUAACACAUGCAAGUCGAACGGAAAGGCCCUGCUUUUGUGGGGUGCUCGAGUGGCGAACGGGUGAGUAACACGUGAGUAACCUGCCCUUGACUUUGGGAUAACUUCAGGAAACUGGGGCUAAUACCGGAUAGGAGCUCCUGCUGCAUGGUGGGGGUUGGAAAGUUUCGGCGGUUGGGGAUGGACUCGCGGCUUAUCAGCUUGUUGGUGGGGUAGUGGCUUACCAAGGCUUUGACGGGUAGCCGGCCUGAGAGGGUGACCGGCCACAUUGGGACUGAGAUACGGCCCAGACUCCUACGGGAGGCAGCAGUGGGGAAUAGUGCACAAUGGGCGGAAGCCUGAUACAGCAACGCCGCGUGCGGGAUGACGGCCUUCGGGUUGUAAACCGCUUUCGCCUGUGACGAAGCGUGAGUGACGGUAAUGGGUAAAGAAGCACCGGCUAACUACGUG